GACGUAGGGCGCGAGCGUUGUCCGGAUUUAUUGGGCGUAAAGAGCUCGUAGGCGGCUUGUCGCGUCGAAUGUGAAAUCUCAGGGCUCAACUCUGACAUUGCAUUCGAUACGGGCAGGCUAGAGUUCGGUAGGGGAGACUGGAAUUCCUGGUGUAGCGGUGGAAUGCGUAGAGAUCCGGAAGAACACCGGUGGCGAAGGCGGUCUGCUGGGGUAAUGCUGACACUGAUGCGCGACAGCGUGGGGAGCAACAGG
rnacentral:rRNA from 1 species